rnacentral:lncRNA from 1 species
CAGCCGCGCCCCCAGCCGUAUUUCCGCGGGCGCUGAGCACUAGAGAGAGCGUCUUGUGGCUGCGGCCUGCCCCUCAGCCUCCUCCGCGCGGUUACCCCUGUACCCGCCGCCAUCCGUCCUGGCGCUCCGGAUGAGUCAAUGAGGGGCAGGGCCCGAGGAGUGGUCUUCCCAAGAACCCCUGGUGGCCUCCCAAGGCCGGUGCUGUGUACCUCCUCCCCGACAAAAGGGGAAACUGAGGCCCCGAGGGGAGUGGGAAGAGCCGGCUGGACGUCAGGCCCAGCCGCUGGUGCAGUGGCCUCGUGGGCUGUGCGGCUAUCCUGGAGACAGAUGACAGCUCUCCCUUGGAUGGCUUUGCUGGUUCCGCACCAGCCAGCGCCCCCAUUUUUCCUGCAGCACCCUGAUCUGCACUCCCUGAGGGGCUCCCACUGUCCGCGGUGUGAGGAUGUCCCUGGAAAUUGGUCUUCUGUGACUUUCUUGAUGGGGGCAGAUGAGAUCUUUGUACUGCAUUAAGUGGAUAGCGCUCAGGUCCUUUGGGCUUGGCGCUUUGGCAAUCUCCAGGCAGCUCACUUUGGCCUCUGUUCCUGGAUCCCCUUUGCUCUUUUCUGCGCCUGCAUUCAUAGUCCACUGUGUGCAGAGGCAUGGGAGUUGUCAUGUUGGGAACAUGCUAGACCUCAGUAUCCUUGAGCUUGAAGAAAGACGACAGAACACUGGAGACCAAGUACUUACAGCCUUCUGCUCUGUGGCCCCUCCUCACUCCAGGGAUGCUGCCUUGGGUCUGGAAACUGUUAGAGGAAACCCCAAGAGGUGCAGGCACUGAGCCUCUCAGGACAAUGACCUGGGGUCCCAGCUCCCCUGGAGGGGCCUCCUCAUGAUUGUUUGGGGGUUGAUCACAGACCAAGAGUGACGAGUGAUGUCACCCUGUGACUCAUGGCUGGACCUUCUUGCCCCUAUUGUCUCAGCACAACAUUAUUCGACUUUUCCCUCAGCGUGGGUGGGCAGAGGAAAAGCCCUGUGGCUCUGGGGACUUGGGAUCCAGAGUUGAAGACCCUUCAGCUGGCUCUGCCCUGCCAGUGCCACAGAGUGCCAUGGCCCAGGAAGACAGGUUUUCUUCCAUCUAGGCCAGGCCAUCCAGUGGCCAUCCUCCGUGUCCUCCCGCCUCCUCCUGGUGUGACUUCUGAAAACCAAGAAUUUGUUCCUGUUGACUUUUUCUGUGCUAUGGACCAUUGUCCUCUCACCCACUCAAUAAAUCUUGAAACAU